UACAGAGGGUGCAAGCGUUAAUCGGAAUUACUGGGCGUAAAGGGCGCGUAGGUGGUUGAUUAAGUCAGAUGUGAAAUCCCUGGGCUUAACCUAGGAAUUGCAUUUGAUACUGGUCGGCUAGAGUGUGGGAGAGGGAAGUGGAAUUUCCAGUGUAGCGGUGAAAUGCGUAGAUAUUGGAAGGAACACCAGUGGCGAAGGCGACUUCCUGGACCACUACUGACACUGAGGCGCGAAAGCGUGGGGAGCGAACAGG
rnacentral:rRNA from 2 species